rnacentral:rRNA from 1 species
CCUACGGGGGGCAGCAGUGGGGAAUAUUGGACAAUGGGCGAAAGCCUGAUCCAGCCAUGCCGCGUGUGUGAAGAAGGCCUUCGGGUUGUAAAGCACUUUCAGUGGGGAAGAAAGCCUUGGGGCUAAUACCCUCGAGGAAGGACAUCACCCACAGAAGAAGCACCGGCUAACUCCGUGCCAGCAGCCGCGGUAAUACGGAGGGUGCGAGCGUUAAUCGGAAUUACUGGGCGUAAAGCGCGCGUAGGCGGUCUGAUAAGCCGGUUGUGAAAGCCCCGGGCUCAACCUGGGAACGGCAUCCGGAACUGUCAGGCUAGAGUGCAGGAGAGGAAGGUAGAAUUCCCGGUGUAGCGGUGAAAUGCGUAGAGAUCGGGAGGAAUACCAGUGGCGAAGGCGGCCUACUGGACUGACACUGACGCUGAGGUGCGAAAGCGUGGGUAGCAAACAGGAUUAGAUACCCCUGUAGUC